UCCGUAGGUGAACCUGCGGAGGGAUCAUUACCGAGUUAUACAACUCAUCAACCCUGUGAACAUACCUAUAACGUUGCCUCGGCGGGAACAGACGGCCCCGUAACACGGGCCGCCCCCGCCAGAGGACCCCCUAACUCUGUUUCUAUAAUGUUUCUUCUGAGUAAACAAGCAAAUAAAUUAAAACUUUCAACAACGGAUCUCUUGGCUCUGGCAUCGAUGAAGAACGCAGCGAAAUGCGAUAAGUAAUGUGAAUUGCAGAAUUCAGUGAAUCAUCGAAUCUUUGAACGCACAUUGCGCCCGCCAGUAUUCUGGCGGGCAUGCCUGUUCGAGCGUCAUUACAACCCUCAGGCCCCCGGGCCUGGCGUUGGGGAUCGGCGGAAGCCCCCUGCGGGCACAACGCCGUCCCCCAAAUACAGUGGCGGUCCCGCCGCAGCUUCCAUUGCGUAGUAGCUAACACCUCGCAACUGGAGAGCGGCGCGGCCACGCCGUAAAACACCCAACUUCUGAAUGUUGACCUCGAAUCAGGUAGGAAUACCCGCUGAACUUAAGCAUAUCAAUA
rnacentral:rRNA from 1 species